CUUUGCCCAGCACAGUCCUGGAUAAGGCAACAAGCAACAGUAGUCUUUAUCCAGCCCCUCAGCUGGGUGGAGCACUCCUGAUGUACAAGCCCAGCAGUGGGAGGUGAAAACACCUUUCUGCUCAAAUAAACAUGGUUCUGCUAUUCAGGGAAAAGCCCUGGGGCUGAGCUCCCCAGCAUCAUCCUGGACCACUUCUUCCCAGUUUGACAGCCCAGCUUGGAGGGGAGGAUUCAGCUGUUCACCUGAGGUUUGUAAAUGUACCAGGGGUGCUUUUACAGCCUGGCUGUGCCAGCAGUCCCUGGUCAGCAGUGGCUGCUGGGGUUCCCACCAGACCCAAGGGCUGCAGAGGGAUCAGAGGGGAGCAGCAAGGAUGUUCCCAGAGCAGGGUUUGGUUCAUCUCUUCACUCUGUGAGGGCUUUCUUCUGAUUGAGAGCCCUGCCUGUGCUGCGCUCACCACCCCGAGCAGAACCAGGUGUCUGUGAUGGGUGCUCAGAGCAGGAAAGCCACUGAAUUGAGAAGCCAAUGUGAUUUUUGCAUCUGCACUAACACACACCUCACUAGAAAAUGCCAACAAUCAAACAGGAGCAGGGGAAGGGGCGCAGUCACCAGGUGUUCAUCACCUGUGGCACCAAAGAGCUCAGCAGUGGAUACUGCAGGGGCACACCACCCUCUGCCAUUUGGCUGCCAAAACCCUCCAGACCACCAAAUCACCACCUCCAGACCAUGAAAUCACCACCUCCAGACCAUGAGAUCACCACCUCCCGACCACCACACAGGUGGGUCCUGUUCCACCCUGCCAGGCUCUGCAGGCACCGCCACCAGAAGGUUGUGGCCAGCACUGCUCCAUCUCCAUUGGCUUUCUCAGCUCUGACCCCGGGAAAUGAGACCCUGCUUUUGGUAUCUGUUGCUUCAUCUCCUUCACAGAUAACUACAGGGCUGAAGAUACCCAAAAAAAUCAACACAAGCACUGUCCAAGUCCUUUCAGUUCUAUUGGGGAAGCAAUGACUUACAAACACUCCAUUAAAAGCAAACCCCAAAGAAGUGCAGCCAGCCUGGGGGAGGCAGAGUAGGAAAGCACCAGGGUCCAAAGGCUCCUGCAAAGCCUCUGGAGGUGCCAUGGGCUGAUGCUGGCUGUGAAUUUCCCUGGAUGUGCACUGCAGUAGUUUCUAGCUGUCUGACACCUACAGACUCCCACAGAAGGCUGCUCUCACCACCCAGGGGAUGUAAGAGGUGUCCUGGCAGGCAACAGUCCCCUCCAGAGCAGACCUCAGACCCCGUGGCUGCAGAGCAGAGCUGCUGAGCCUUCUGACCUUGAAGCUACUGUCAGAAUCACCAUCAGAUUGAGCUACUUCCCAAUUCCAACCCCUUUGAUUGGAGAAGUUUUUUUUUCCUCUUUUUCCUUCUCCUGUGCCACCCCAGCAGUUUUACAGGGCAUCAGUCUUCUCUCACAUCAUACUUUCUUAUUCCCUACUAAAAAAGAUAAAGCACACAAACCAUACCCUCCAUAUGCAAGCCAGAAAACUCUCUUUCCCCCUGGAAAUCACAGUUUUUAAAAAUUAUUGUUUUUUAACUUGGUUGAGCCAUAUUCAUUUAAAGAACAGAUAGACCUUUCAGAAAUGACUUUUUUCAGUGCCCUGAGAGGUUUUGAGAGGGCCAGAUUUGGCACUUUCUGAAAGCAUUCUGGAAAUCCUUCCAGGGGUUGCCUGGAAUCUCCUGCUUCUGCAAGUUUGGCCAAGUAUGGUGAAUAAAAAAUAGCAUUCAGGUGAUUUAGUAGUUGCUUUGGGAAUGUUUGGAGUUGCACUUUUGCACAGUGCACCAGAAUUACAGAAUGGUUUGGAUUGGAAAGUGUGACGGUGUUCACAGGGGUCUUAGGAUGAGGGAAGAGACGAGAAUCUUGACUCCAUGUUUCAGAAGGCUUGAUUUAUUAUUUUAUGAGAUAUAUUAUAUAACUAUACUAAAAGAAUAGAAGAAAGGAUUUCAUCAGAAGAUUUGCUAAGAAUAGAAAAGGAAUGAAUAACAAAGGUUUGUCUCUGACCAAGCCAGUCUGGACAGCUGGACUGUGGUUGUCCAUUAAUUAGAAACAACCAGAUGAGACCAAUCACAGAUCCACCUGCUGCAUUCCAUAGCAGCAGAUAACAAUUGUUUGCAUUUUGUUCCUGAGGCCUCUCAGCUUCUCAGGAGGGAAAAUCCUAAGGAAUAGAUUUUUCAUUAAACAUGUCAGUGACAGGAAAGAACCUUAAACAUCAUCUUGUUCCAUCCCCUCCUUGGAUGAGGCUGCACAGGGCCCCAUCCAACCUGGCCUGGAUAUUUUGGGUCUGUAAUCUACACUCCCCAGUUAUUGAUCACACAGGAGGACCACAAUCUAAAAUAAGUCCUCGGUGCCACCUACAGACAGCUCCAGACACCAAAAAUAACCCCACUGCAGCUACCAGGGAGCAGAACAGACUCCAGAGCUUGAGGACUUGCUGCCUCAGCACUGCUUGCUGCACACACCAAAUACCUCCAGUCACUGGACAAAACUGAAAUGACUUUUGAUAAAGUCACUGGUUGCAACAGGAACAGGUGCAGUGACAAGAAAAAGGCAAAAGCAACAGCUUUUUUCUUAAAAACCAGGCCAAGCUGGCAGAAACAGCUUGCAAAAAGCUGACCAUACUUUACACAUUUGGAGGGCAAAACACUUUUUCUUACAAAAUAGAGAAGUGUCAUUUCUAUGUCAAAUUUUUAUUUUUGGAUACAGGAUCUUUAGGAGGAUCUUUAUUUUUGUGAUACAGGUUGAUUGUGAAGCAGGCCUCACUCAGCCCUGGUGGAAGUCUGACAUUCUGAUCAAUCCUUCCCCUCCAGUGGGAUGCCAGGUGUUUUAUGCAAGGGGCUGGCUGGCAUUAAAUUAGCUUUAAAAUUAUCUUCAAUAUUAAUAAGCCAUUGAAAUCAAGGGAAGAAUCACAGAAGACAAAAUCAUCCUAGGGGCUGCACUGAAUCCUCCAAGGAGCAGCAGCCUGAAGUCCUGUACCAAAGGCAGUCUCUCCUGCAGCAAUGCUUGCCCAAGGAUGGCAGCAGCAGCAAGGCCUCCAAGAGCAGCCACAGUGAAAAAUCACCUUCACAGCAACAUGCUGUCCUCUCAGCAGGGCUCAGGGCUGUGCUCUCAGCAGAAGCCAGCCCUGGGAGGCAGCUCAGGACAGCACACACAUCAGCUAAGGCUGCUGGUCCACCUUGCAGCCAGACCAAGCUGGCAGUUCACUGGGACCAAAGCAAGGUGCUGCUCCUUCCUCCUCCUCCCAGAGCCCUGCUUCAUCUGUUGUCAUGAUUUUGUGGUGUGUUUGGCAGUGCUGGGGUAACAGCUGGACUGAUUUUAGAGAUGUUUCUCACCCUAAAUGAUUUUAUAAUGUCCCACUCUCCUCAACCCCCAGCCAUUCCUCCCACCCCCCGGGGCUUAUCUGGCUGCCCCAUCAUCUGCUCUCACUGCCACACCUGCCCACCCUCCUUGGCCCAGCUGGCUCACCGACUGCACAGAACACAAUUUGCUCAGGCAGGGACGAGCAGCCAGAGCCAGCCCAGCCCAGCAGCAGCCCCGAUUCCUCUGCUGCUCCUUCAGUUCCCAGCGGAGGGAGCAGAGGGACCCUCGGGCAAACACCUCCGGGACCGGGGGCAGGAACAUCCCGCGCGUUCGUGCCCGGCUGACACCGAGCCGCUCUCUGCAGCUCCGGCUGUGUUUCCUACACCAGCCAGAGCCCCAGUUCUCCCUCCCGGAGGGAGGAAGGGAAGGGAGGGCGGGCAUGCUCCAGCUCCACCCGGGCAGCCGGUGGGAUGCCGCGGUGCCAGGCAGCGCAGCCUGGGUGGUCCCAGCCCGAGCCAGGGGGAUAUCGCCAGGGAAGCCCCUGGCAGUUCCUCCAGCAGCCGGAUCCUCUUCAGGGAAGCUGCCAAGAGCCCAAUUAACACACCUACCCCAUAAAGCAGGAGUGGUGCUGCGCUGGGAGAAACAAUCGACCACGUACUGAAGGGCUUUGCUGAAUGGAUUUAAUUCAGCGCUUACGCCUUAAAAGCUGAGCUGUGCUCAGCCUUCCUGAAUGGGGACAGGCACGUUUGGGGGCCUGCUGACCUGUCACCCAACAUCAGCAUCUUCAAAAGGAACAGCUCUUGGCACAAACAGCUCUUUCUUUCAGGAAAAUGAAAAGGAAAAAAAAAAAAAAAAAAAAAAAAAGGAAAGAAAACCAAGGAGAGGCUGGUGCUUUUGUGCUCCGGAAGGUCACUGGUGACUCCUGAAGGAGGCAGGGCAGCCUCACCCACCUCCCUCCCCUCCGAGGGGCAAGGGGAGACCUGCCCGGCAGUGAAUGGAGGAGGGAAACUGGGGCAGCUGGUGGGCCAGUUCUUUCUGGUGUGGAAAAACAUCGCUCUGUGAACAUCCUGUGCCUGCAGGAGAAGGGCAUCGCUCCAGCACGGCGUAGCCCCAGCAACCAGCGAGCGGCUGUGGCUGCUCUGAAGCCCUCAGAAGAGACUGCAAACGGGAGUGCUGUGACCCGCCCAGUGGCUUUAUCCCCAGCACCGUCCUGCUUGGCUGCCCAGCACAGAUGCAGGACCUGUAUUGGCAUCUCCACAUCUAAAGAUGUCUGGCUCCCUCAUGGCAGAUGUUUCAUUGAGGGCGGAUUUAAAUUUGGGGACCAGAUUCCUCCUCUAUUUGUAAAGCUCUUUUUCUCUUUCCUGCUCUGGAAGGGCUCUCUGAAAAAAGCUAAAGAAAAUGCUUCUGGGGUUUUUAAGCCAUGCUGGAGGUUUCUGCCCGUGUGGCUGUGAACCUUCCAGAGCUGCAGGUGGGAGUGCACUGCCCACGCCAGCACCACCCAAAGGUUCACCAGGAUCUGAUGCUGGAGGCACCAGGCAGGGCAGCCCCCCAGGCAGGGCUCACAGUGGCACUGAUGGACGGACAGACAGACAGAGGAAGGACUGGGACUCCAGCAGCUGCACAGCUCCCACAACCAGAAGGCUCCAGGACUUCGCAAGUCUCCCUCUCUGUCCACACUGCCAAGCUAAGGACUUGCCCCAAAAUUCCCAGGUUUAGACUUCCAUGGGUUUUCUGUCACAUCUGUGACAUUUCACUUGUUCAAGUGAUAACUGCCUGCUUUUCAUGAGCCUACCCCUCAACCCCAAAGCUCUCUUCUCUCCUUUCUCACCAAAAUCAAGAGAGAAAUGCUUAAUGCCAAAAUCACUCACAGCACUAAGGAUGGGAUAACUAAACACUGCAGAUUUUUAACAAUUACAAGAAGAAAACUUGCAAAGCAGAGGGUACUACUCACGUGGUGAAACCAGCUGUAGAAGGAGUUUUGAAACAAUUCCAGCUCUUUCACUUUUUUUUUUUUUUUUUCCUUUUCUCAGGGUAGUAACACUUCUCUUUACAAGCAAAUUAGUUGUUAAAAAACAGAUAAAGACAUGUCACGCCAAGCUGUGCCCGGGUGUUUCAUAUUCACUUUCCCCCUCCCAAAAAAAGAGUUUUCUUAUAACUAAAGAAUGAGACAGAAGCAGCUAGAAA